AACGCACGAGACCUGCGGACCUGCGGAGGGAUCAUUACAGAGUUACUAAACUCCCAACCCUAUGUGUACCUACCACUAUUGCUUCGGCGGGCUGCUGCUACCCUGUAGCUACCCUGUAAUUCAGGGUGGACUUUCCUGGUAGUUCGCGUAAAGGCCCGUCAGAGGACCAUAAAACUCUUGUUACCCUGAAGGUAUUUCUGAAUGCUUCAACUUAAUAAGUUAAAACUUUUAACAAUGGAU
rnacentral:misc_RNA from 1 species